CCCUUGUUCCCCACCCCCCAGUUCCCCGCACCUAACAUUCACACUCACGCCCCCGGGGGUGCGGCCGCCACGUGGGAGAGAGGCGCGGGGGUGGCCUGGGAACCGCACCCCGCUUUUCUCUCCCCACUCUCUGCGUGGGCCCUGCUAGCCACAGGCAGUGGCGACCCCCAAGAUAGACCCACGGCCAUGAGCAACGAACCCGGGAGAGUGCAGAUAACUCUUUCUGGGCAAGGCAGGAGAAGGAGGCUCAGAGUCUCUUCCUCGGUUCCCCUGUCCAGGGGAUCAGGGCUGGCUCUGGGAGGCGCUCAGGUUCCCCCUGAAGCUGCUCAGCCCCGCGGCUCCUCCUCUCGGAGAGGCCGUUGCUCUGCUCCGGGACUGGUCCUCCCCAUGCAUCUCUAGUCCCUGCAGUACAGAGCUGAGAGGUAGAACCGCGGUCCGGUUCCUGAGCCCCCGGCACGGGAUCCGGGCUCGUUGUGGACUCGGCUCGGCUUUACUUAUCCCCGCCCUGACCCGCGCUCUCCUUUCCUGAGGGCCCACCCAUCUCGAUCCUCGGCCACUCCGGUUCCGAUCUGGGGCCUUCUGGCUCCCCGGAAAAGGCGAGGCAGGCAGACGGGGAGGGUGCAAAACGCAAAGUGCUGGAGCUAUGUGCCAGACAGAGCCAGAACCGGGGUUUCCAGGCCCGGCCAAGCUGGGCUGGGGCUCGAUCUCUUCCGUCUCUCGACUAAGUCAGCCCCACCGCUGCAGCCCAGGCUGUCAGAUGGCUGUGCUCCUGAGGCCCUGCCCUUUUGAUGCUAUGAGGCAGGACCCUCCUGUUGGGGUUCAUCCAAUGUCUUCCCUAGGCCUAGAGUCACACAGGAAUGGCUGGUCCGAGGGUCCUGUUCAGAGCAUCCCUCUGGUGCUGGCAGUUAGGUGGUAAAAUGGAUAGAAUGCUGUGCUUGGAGUCAGGAAGACCUGACCUGAAAUCCAGCCUCAGUCAUUUAUUUGUGUGAUCCUGGGUAAAUCACUUAACUUUGGUCUGCCUCAGUUUCCUCAUCUAUAAAAUGGGGACAAUAAUAAUAGCACCUACCUCACAGGGUUGGGGUGAGGAUCAAAUGAUAAAACAUUUAUAAAGCAUUUAGUAGAGUGACUGGUAUAUGGUGCUUAAAUGCUUAUUUUUUUCCUUUGUUUCCCCAUAACACUUACCUCUCAAAGCUGUUGUAAGGAUCAAAUGAAAUAAUAUAUGUAAAGGGCUUUGUAAAGUUGAAAGUGCUAUAUUUUAAAUGCUAGCUAUUAUUAUUAUUAUCUUCUGCUUCAUUCCCUGGGUCCAUCUGUUUCUUCUCCCACUACCUUUGUGUCCUCUUCAAUAAACAUAUAUUAAAAAAAUUUUUUUUAAUGAGG
rnacentral:lncRNA from 1 species